UGGGGAAUAUUGCGCAAUGGGGGGAACCCUGACGCAGCCAUGNCGCGUGAAUGAAGAAGGCCUUAGGGUUGUAAAGUUCUUUCGGUAUUGAGGAAGGUUGAUGUGUUAAUAGCACAUCAAAUUGACGUUAAAUACAGAAGAAGCACCGGCUAACUCCGUGCCAGCAGCCGCGGUAAUACGGAGGGUGCGAGCGUUAAUCGGAAUAACUGGGCGUAAAGGNCANGCAGGCGGUUAUUUAAGUGAGGUGUGAAAGCCCCGGGCUUAACCUGGGAAUUGCAUUUCAGACUGGGUAACUAGAGUACUUUAGGGAGGGGUAGAAUUCCACGUGUAGCGGUGAAAUGCGUAGAGAUGUGGAGGAAUACCGAAGGCGAAGCNAGCCCCUUGGGAAUGUACUGACGCUCAUGUGCGAAAGCGUGGGGGAGCAAACAGGAUUAGAUACCCUGGUAGUCCACGCUGUAAACGCUGUCGAUUUGGGGGUUGGGGUUUAACUCUGGCGCCCGUAGCUAACGUGAUAAAUCGACCGCCUGGGGAGUACGGCCGCAAGNU
rnacentral:rRNA from 1 species